rnacentral:tRNA from 1 species
AGAUGUAACGGAGACACAGCUUCUGCUUGGGGUGCAGGAGGUCGCGAGUUCAAAUCUCGCCGGCACGACCA